GCGGCCUUGGCGGAACUGGCAGACGCGCACGGUUCAGGUCCGUGUGCCUUCGGGCAUGGAGGUUCAAGUCCUCUAGGCCGCACCA
rnacentral:tRNA from 1 species